rnacentral:lncRNA from 1 species
CCCAUCAUCGUGUCUUCGUGACCUUGUUUCAUAUCACAGGACCAAUUCACGGUAAUUAUCAUUCAUACGGGAAUAUUUUGGAAGACAUGUUUAUAAUAAGACUUCACAUGAUUAAUACUUCCAUACUUAAUUAUAUUUAAUACUAUACAUAUGUAUUAGUACUUGAGAACAAGUACUAAGGUUUGGAAUAAACCUCUAUGAUCAUUCAUAAUAUUUAAUAAGUUUUUACACUAAGUAAACACCUUACCAAUUCAAUAUUGAUCAAGAGACAGACCCUAUCAAUCAUCU